CCUGGCCUUGACAUACUAAGAACUUUCCAGAGAUGGAUUGGUGCCUUCGGGAACUUAGAUACAGGUGCUGCAUGGCUGUCGUCAGCUCGUGUCGUGAGAUGUUGGGUUAAGUCCCGCAACGAGCGCAACCCUUUUCCUUAUUUGCCAGCGGGUAAUGCCGGGAACUUUAAGGAUACUGCCAGUGACAAACUGGAGGAAGGCGGGGACGACGUCAAGUCAUCAUGGCCCUUACGGCCAGGGCUACACACGUGCUACAAUGGUCGGUACAAAGGGUUGCUACCUCGCGAGAGGAUGCUAAUCUCAAAAAGCCGAUCGUAGUCCGGACCGCAGUCUGCAACUCGACUGCGUGAAGUCGGAAUCGCUAGUAAUCGCGGAUCAGAAUGCCGCGGUGAAUACGUUCCCGGGCCUUGUACACACCGCCCGUCACACCAUGGGAGUUUGUUGCACCAGAAGUAGGUAGUCUAACCGCAAGGAGGACGCUUACCACGGUGUGGCCGAUGACUGGGGUGAAGUCGUAACAAGGUAAGCGUAGAUGA
rnacentral:rRNA from 1 species